AGAGUUUGAUCCUGGCUCAGGAUGAACGCUAGCGGUGCGCCUAACACAUGCAAGUCGAGUGCCCGCAAGGGCACGGCAAACGGGUGAGUAACACGUUGGUAACUUACCCCGGAGUGAGGAAUAACCCGCCGAAAGGCGGGCUAAUGCCGCAUAAGAAAGGGGGGACGAAAGUCAUUCCCUUUUAAAGUCGUAAGACGCUUCGGGAGAGGCCUGCGUAGUAUCAGCUAGUUGGUAGGGUAAUGGCCUACCAAGGCUAUGACGCUUAGUUGGUCCGAGAGGACGACCAGCCACAAUGGGACUGAGACACGGCCCAUACUCCUACGGGAGGCAGCAGUGAGGAAUCUUCCGCAAUGGGCGAAAGCCUGACGGAGCGACACCGCGUGGAGGAUGAAGGCGUUUUCGUUGUAAACUCCUUUUCUGAGGGAAUAACUGAUGAAGGUACCUCAGGAAUAAGCACCGACAAACUAUGUGCCAGCAGUCGCGGUAAUACAUAGGGUGCAAGCGUUAUCCGGAAUUAUUGGGCGUAAAGCGUUUCUAGGCGGUUCAGCAAGUUUGCGGUUAAAUCCGGUCGCUCAACGAUCGACUUGUCGCAAAAACUACUGGACUAGAGAAAGGCAGAGGUCACUGGAAUUCCACAUGUAGGGGUAAAAUCCGUUGAUAUGUGGAGGAACACCAAAAGCGAAGGCAGGUGACUGGGCCUUUUCUGACGCUCAUGAAACGAAAGCGUGGGGAGCAAACAGGAUUAGAUACCCUGGUAGUCCACGCCGUAAACCAUGGAUACUCGGUGUAGGAGGGACUCGACCCCCUUCUGUGCCUUAGCUAACGCGUUAAGUAUCCCGCCUGGGAAGUACGGUCGCAAGAUUAAAACUCAAAGGAAUAGACGGGGACCCACACAAGCGGUGGAGCAUGUGGUUUAAUUCGACAAUAAACGUGGAACCUUACCCAGGCUUGACAUCUCCGGAAUUCCCUGGAAACAGGGGAGUGCCGUAAGGAACCGGAUGACAGGUGCUGCAUGGUCGUCGUCAGCUCGUGCCUUGAGGUGUUCGGUUAAGUCCGUAAACGAGCGCAACCCAUGUCUUAUGUUGUAUUUCUCAUAAGAGACUGCCGGCUUUAAGUCGGAGGAAGGUAUGGAUGACGUCAGAUCAGCAUGGCCCUUAUGCCUGGGGCUACACACGUGCUACAAUGGCCGGUACAAUGGGAAGCGAACCCGCAAGGGGGAGCCAAUCCCAUCAAAGCCGGUCUCAGUUCGGAUUGGGGGCUGCAACUCGACCCCAUGAAGCUGGAAUCGCUAGUAACCGCAAAUCAGCCAUGUUGCGGUGAAUAUGUUCCUGGGUCUUGUACUCACCGCCCGUCAAGUCAUGAAAGGUGGGGGUACCUGAAGUCGCGCUACCCCGUAAGGGGGCGUGCCCACGGUAAAACCACUGAUUGGGACUAAGUCGUAACAAGGUAUCCGUAGGAGAACCUGCGGAUG
rnacentral:rRNA from 1 species